GAUGAACGCUGGCGGCGUGCCUAAUACAUGCAAGUCGAGCGAACGGACGAGAAGCUUGCUUCUCUGAUGUUAGCGGCGGACGGGUGAGUAACACGUGGAUAACCUACCUAUAAGACUGGGAUAACUUCGGGAAACCGGAGCUAAUACCGGAUAAUAUUUUGAACCGCAUGGUUCAAAAGUGAAAGACGGUCUUGCUGUCACUUAUAGAUGGAUCCGCGCUGCAUUAGCUAGUUGGUAAGGUAACGGCUUACCAAGGCAACGAUGCAUAGCCGACCUGAGAGGGCGAUCGGCCACACUGGAACUGGGACACGGUCCAGACUCCUACGGGAGGCAGCAGUAGGGAAUCUUCCGCAAUGGGCGAAAGCCUGACGGAGCAACGCCGCGUGAGUGAUGAAGGUCUUCGGAUCGUAAAACUCUGUUAUUAGGGAAGAACAUAUGUGUAAGUAACUGUGCACAUCUUGACGGUACCUAAUCAGAAAGCCACGGCUAACUACGUG
rnacentral:rRNA from 1 species